rnacentral:tRNA from 1 species
CGUAAGCGCCCGUCUAGCUCAGUUGGUAGAUCACAAGGCUCUUAACCUUGUGGUCGUGGGUUCGAGCCCCACGGUGAGCGC